UACGUAGGGGGCAAGCGUUGUCCGGAUUUAUUGGGCGUAAAGAGCGUGUAGGCGGCUAGAUAGGUCCGUUGUGAAAACUCGAGGCUCAACCUCGAGACGUCGAUGGAAACCAUCUGGCUAGAGUCCGGAAGAGGAGAGUGGAAUUCCUGGUGUAGCGGUGAAAUGCGCAGAUAUCAGGAGGAACACCAAUGGCGAAGGCAGCUCGCUGGGACGUGACUGACGCUGAGACGCGAAAGCGUGGGGAGCAAACAGG
rnacentral:rRNA from 1 species